UUAUUAAUAAAGAAAAAGUUUUUUCUUUUCGGUAGAGAGCUUUUUUUUUUCUUGGGGCAAAUAACAAAGCAAAAUCUGACUAUGACCAUUCAUAUUUUCUUGGAUUUCCAAAAUGAUCAUGGAUACCGAUAAUAAUUUCUGUUCCUUUGUCUCUCUGCAUUACCUCUCCUCUCUUCUUGUUCUUGUUCUUUACUGUUCACCAGCACAGCUCUGCUUGUUUCUUCUUUCCUCCUCCAUCCAUGGCUUCCUUGUAUGUUCUUCCCAGAUCUGCACAUUUCUUCCACUUCAGUGGGCAAUAAGUUUGUCUUAGGAAGCCCACUGAAUCAGGGAGUGCAGGUGAGGUGAGCUUUCUGCAUCCUGUUGGAAUAAUGGCUGUUCCAACUGUUCCCACCCGGCCUCUUUUUCUAAUGCAGGGUGCGGAGUUACGUUAGACCGCAUACAAGAAUCCAUUGCCCCAGAGUCCAAGGAUGCUGCUGCUCGAAUCAGCUGGAGGACCCUUGUCAAUACAAAUUGUUCGGGGAUCGGUUGGAAUGAAUCCCGACGAGGUGAAGUUGCAACUGCCGAUCAAUACAGCUAUUCCUGCGUCAAAGCGAAACUAAAGUCUUAAUACCUCUUAAAGAAACGCCGGGAAGCAGUGUUCUGAUGAUGUACAAGACAGAUUUGGGGGAAUGACUUUUUUACUUUCAUCCAUCAAGCUGAUAAUCAAUGAGACACUGGACGGGACAAUAUGGGUCGCAUGCUACGUUGGCCAUUUAUGACCAAAGCUGACUCAGUCCUUACUGCGAUGCAGUGCGCUCUAUUCAACUGAAUUUAAUGUGUCAACUCUCCCUGUCUGAGUCUCCUGUUGACCCCCAUCCGAUCCUUUUGCCUCUCAGUCAUGAGGUCUCUCAUCUCGCAAGAGGGUAUGCUUCGGAGAAGCUUCUCAGGGGGAAAGUGACAGGGAGAUGGAGAUGGCAGAUGGAGAUGAAAGAUGGAAGAUGGAAGAUGGGGGACCCCACAUGGUUCCUUUAGAGCUUGUUUUUGAGGAGGAGAUUAAUAAGUCGCGACAACCAACCUCAGAGCCACCAACAACAAAGUUUCUUCCUUGCUUGCGCCCCCUCUUCUUUCAGUCCCGUACGCCUGCCAGAAGGCUCCUCCUCAGUUAAUUAAUUAAUUAAUCUUGUGGUUAAUCAUCUUUUCCAAAACGGUGUUUUCAGCCAAUAAGUUAAAACAAUAAUUCCGUUGCAGCGUCGAUUUAGUGGCCUACACAUAUGUCUAAGUACAAAGUAAGAAAUCUAGGAGCAGCUUUAGCACUUGGGCCCUAAGGGAGUGAUACUGAGGGAGGACACCCGGCACACGACACACGACACAGGACACAGGACACACGGCAGCCCUGCAGAUCCAGAGGGAAGUAAAAGCAAAAGGUCAAGACUGAAAAAGCUGGUGGACGUAGACAGACCAGGAGUAGAGAGGAUAACAUCAUCUUCACCUUCUUCAUUGCUUGAUAUGUAGAAAGGGCGAGAGAGAAUCAAAGCUUUAAGCUUGAAUGAAUGGAAGGAAUAUGUGGGACAAGCAGAGCAAAACCGGGGGCCAGAUUUCUUUUGCAAUUUUUCAUCAUCAGUUCUCUCUCACUACUAAGUACAAUGAUGUUCUGUCUUUUUUUUCUUUCAUUGAGGCUGUGCAGCAAACUUCUUCAAGAAACCACUAUGA